AUUGAACGCUGGCGGCAGGCCUAACACAUGCAAGUCGAGCGGAUGAGGGAAGCUUGCUUCCCGAUUUAGCGGCGGACGGGUGAGUAAUGCCUAGGAAUCUGCCUAUUAGUGGGGGAUAACGUUCCGAAAGGAACGCUAAUACCGCAUACGUCCUACGGGAGAAAGUGGGGGAUCUUCGGACCUCACGCUAAUAGAUGAGCCUAGGUCGGAUUAGCUAGUUGGUGAGGUAACGGCUCACCAAGGCGACGACCCGUAGCUGGUCUGAGAGGGUGAUCAGCCACACUGGAACUGAGACACGGUCCAGACUCCUACGGGAGGCAGCAGUGGGGAAUAUUGGACAAUGGGCGAAAGCCUGAUCCAGCCAUGCCGCGGGUGUGAAGAAGGUCUUCGGAUUGUAAAGCACUUUAAGUUGGGAGGAAGAGUUGUAAGCUAAUAUCUUGCAGCUUUGACGUUACCAACAGAAUAAGCACCGGCUAACUCUGUGCCAGCCGCCGCGGUAACAC
rnacentral:rRNA from 1 species